rnacentral:rRNA from 1 species
GGACGAACGCUGGCGGCGUGCUUAACACAUGCAAGUCGAACGGAAAGGCCCCUUCGGGGGUACUCGAGUGGCGAACAGGUGAGUAACACGUGAGUAACCUGCCCUUGACUUCGGGAUAACUUCAGGAAACUGGGGCUAAUACCGGAUAGGAAUCCUUGCUGCAUGGUGGGGGUUGGAAAGCUUCGGCGGUUUUGGAUGGACUCGCGGCUUAUCAGCUUGUUGGUGGGGUAGUGGCUUACCAAGGCUUUGACGGGUAGCCGGCCUGAGAGGGCGACCGGCCACAUUGGGACUGAGAUACGGCCCAGACUCCUACGGGAGGCAGCAGUGGGGAAUAUUGCACAAUGGGCGGAAGCCUGAUGCAGCAACGCCGCGUGCGGGAUGACGGCCUUCGGGUUGUAAACCGCUUUCAGCAGGGGCGAAGCUUGUGGUGACGGUACCUGCAGAAGAAGCACCGGCUAACUACGUG